CACACCGCCCGUCACACCAUGGGAGCGGGUUCUGCCAGAAGUCGGUCGCCUAACCGCAAGGAGGGCGCCGACCACGGUGAGAUUCAUGACUGGGGUG
rnacentral:rRNA from 1 species